rnacentral:rRNA from 1 species
AGUGAACGCUGGCGGUAGGCCUAACACAUGCAAGUCGAACGGCAGCACAGUAAGAGCUUGCUCUUACGGGUGGCGAGUGGCGGACGGGUGAGGAAUACAUCGGAAUCUACUUUUUCGUGGGGGAUAACGUAGGGAAACUUACGCUAAUACCGCAUACGACCUACGGGUGAAAGCAGGGGAUCUUCGGACCUUGCGCGAUUGAAUGAGCCGAUGUCGGAUUAGCUAGUUGGCGGGGUAAAGGCGCACCAAGGCGACGAUCCGUAGCUGGUCUGAGAGGAUGAUCAGCCACACUGGAACUGAGACACGGUCCAGACUCCUACGGGAGGCAGCAGUGGGGAAUAUUGGACAAUGGGCGCAAGCCUGAUCCAGCCAUACCGCGUGGGUGAAGAAGGCCUUCGGGUUAUAAAGCCCUUUUGUUGGGAAAGAAAAGCAGCAGGUUAAUACCCCGCUGUUCUGACGGUACCCAAAGAAUAAGCACCGGCUAACUUCGUG